rnacentral:rRNA from 1 species
AGAGUUUGAUCCUGGCUCAGAAUGAACGUCGGCGGCGUGGAUUAGGCAUGCAAGUCGAACGAGCCUCUGGGGGGUAACUCCUAGAGGAAAGUGGCGAAAGGGGCAGUAAUGUAUGGGUAACCUACCUUGAGGUCUGGGAUAGCUAUUCUAACGGAUAGGUAAUACCGGACGGCCUGAGUUGUCGGCAUCGAUGAUUUAGUAAAGGUUACGCCUCGAGAGGGGCCCAUAUGAUAUUAGCUAGUUGGUGAGGUAAUGGCCCACCAAGGCUGAGAUGCCUAGCAGGCGUGAGAGCGUGACCUGCGCCACUGGCACUGAGACACUGGCCAGACUCCUACGGGAGGCUGCAGUCGAGGAUCUUCGGCAAUGGGCGCAAGCCUGACCGAGCGACGCCGCGUGUGCGAUGAAGGCCUUCGGGUUGUAAAGCACUGUCGAGGGGGAGGAAGGCGCAAGCUUGACCUAUCCCUGGAGGAAGCACGGGCUAAGUUCGUGCCAGCAGCCGCGGUAAGACGAACCGUGCAAACGUUAUUCGGAAUCACUGGGCUUAAAGGGCGCGUAGGCGGGUAAUCAAGUCAAUGGUGAAAGCCUCCAGCUUAACUGGAGAAGUGCCUUUGAUACUGAUUGUCUAGAGUGAGGUAGGGGCAUGUGGAACUUCCGGUGGAGCGGUGAAAUGCGUAGAUAUCGGAAGGAACGCCAGUGGCGAAAGCGAUGUGCUGGACCUUUUCUGACGCUGAGGCGCGAAAGCUAGGGGAUCAAACGGGAUUAGAUACCCUGGUAGUCC